ensembl:lncRNA
CGGUUAUAUGUUUUUCUUUGUCAUAUAGCAACAUGUUUUUAAUCUGUUUAUUAUUAGCCGUAGAUUAGUUUGAAUGUCCAGCAUACACAGUGAGUCAAAGUGAAUGAGCUGUUACUAUAGAAACCAUAAGUUAUAUUAAGAGCGUUAAUAUAAACCUGUGAUUUAUGUUACAGCUGGAAGUACUGUCAAAGCUGCUGUUACAGAAAAUGAAACACCUUCUGACCAAUCAGAAUUAUGAAUUCAACAGAGAUGGAAUCAUAGAACGAUAGAUAGAUAGAUAACACUUUGAUCAAUGCUGUAAAGUGAACCAGCAGAGCGCAAGAUGUUGGAUAGAUCCAGACAGAGGGAUCAGAGGGGAAAUGAUUACGUACACAAAUGAUUAUUAAUACAAUCAGCACACAUGUUAUAAUGCACAGCUCCUCCAGAUGGAGUGUAACUCUAAUGUAUCUUAAAAAUAUAAGAUGUGUUGUACAUUAAACUGUUCUCCCUUAUUGACUAACACCUGAUACUGUCUUAGUCAGUGCACUCCUCUAUGUGCCAUCAUCUCCACUGCUCUCAGCCAACCAGAACUGGGUUUAUAUUAGCGAUGAGGUGUGCAUCAGUGUAACAUCUCAGACUCGGGCGAGGAGUGAGGAUCCAUGCUCAAAAAGCUAUUUAAUAGAAAUCAGGGCAAACAGAACGAAAUCACAAACCGAAAUCGAACCAGGCAGGCCGGGCUAAUAACAACAGUACAUCAGAAACGAAAGGUCCGAAGCGAUAAACCAAAGAGGAAAUCAGGAAACUAACCAAGGGUGCAUAUAUUUAUAGGCACGGCACUGUUCAACAAGGAGCAGCGCUUAAGAUAUUGCACUGAAUAGAUAAACAUGUGCUUCGAAAUAAUCCAAACAUUUGAAGAAACAACCAAAUAAAAUAGAAGUCAUGCCAGAGGCCAUGCUGAAACUCAGGUCACUGCGACAUCUACUGGCCUGGAGGGGAAUUGUCCUGAGUUUCUGUUAGAAUAUCGCAAGCGGGUACAAAGAAUAUAAUAACCCCUGGAGUGGACGAGAUUUCAACAUCCCAGCUCUCGUCUUUGGACUGACAGAUAUGAGGUAGCGCCUAUUUUUACCUGAUAAACAAUGGCAUGAAUGCAGCUCUUGAUCGAUCCAUCCAUCUUCUAUACCGCUUAUCCUUUUCAGGGUCACGGGGGAACCUGGAGCCUAUCCCAGGGAGCAUCAGGUACAAGGCGGGGUACACCCUGGACAGGGUGCCAAUCCAUCGCAGGGCACAAUCACAUACACACUCACACACCCAUUCAUACACUACGGACAAUUUAGACACGUCAAUCAGCCUACCAUGCCUGUCUUUGGACUUGGGGAGGAAACCGGAGUACCCGGAGGAAACCCCCGCAGCACGGGGAGAACAUGCAAACUCCACACACACAGGGCCACUUUAUUGUUGGUUUAUUGUGAUGACUUUCUGUUCAGUUCACUCUUUCAAACCAGCAAAUCAGAUACAGGUAGACUCGACAGAGAAACUGACGUUCGUGUGUAUGGUCUUUCAUGUACACGCACGUGCCAAACAGAAAAGUGAUGACAAAAGUUCAGAACAUCAAAUAGAACAAUGCUUUCAUAAUACAGAGAAUGGAGAAGCGAUAGCUCAUAGAGAAUGGGCAGAGAACAGGCAAAGAACGGGCAAUGGUAGCUCAGUGUUUACGGUGUUGUUGUACUGCUCAGAAGGUCAUGAGUUCAAACCCCAGCACUCCCAAGCUGCCACUGUUGGGCCCUUGAGCAAGGCCCUUAACCCUCAAUUGCUCAGAUGUAUGAAUGAGAUAAAUAUCACUCUGGAUACCAUAAAUGAAAUGAGAAAGGAAAUUAUGUCCAACCUAAACCAUGAAUCUUUUAUAUUCUGUUCAGGUCAAGAUGACACAACAUGGUAUCGUAGGCUGUAUAUAGCAGAACGCUGUUAUUUUUUCCUCGUUCCUUGUGGCUGAGCACAAAGUGAACAGUGUUAAGACGGUUCUUUGGUUGUGAGCGAAGCUCCGUGGUCUUUUCACUAGUGGCCAAUUUCCUGCCAAUGAGACCACCAGUGACAAAGUUCUGGUCAUGUCACAAACGUUUAAUUAGAAUCUCGAAAUGUUAGCGCUGCUACGACGCCCGUCUACAAGCCACCGAUAAGAGGACGAUACAGGACGACGCCAAACUCGCGGAACAGCUGUAAAUACAGUCGUAGCAAUGGCGAAACGGAUACAAAUCAUGCUAACGGACAGAAAUAAUUAUCCUUAUUAUAUCAAGCUCACUUUGAAGAAUGUUUGCGUUUCUGCGAGCGAGUUUUCUGCACGAGUUUAUCGACAGAUCACGCGGACUGAUGAUGUAAGCAGAAUGUACUCGUUUUCUUUCAUUCGUCGCGGUUCUAUCAUGGGAGGAUCGUCAUCGUGUAAUCUGACACAGGGAACACAUGAUCACAGUCUGUUAUAGAAUUCAGCCAAGAUAUUUAUAUUUCACAGCAGCAGGCUCUGUAAAGCGCCAACAGGACGACAGGAUCCUCAACGCCAAGCUUUGCAUUUCCAGACAUCAGUGACGUAAAUUGCGAGAAAACAAAUCCUGUGUCCCUUAAGUCUGAGCAUGUAUUAAACACCUGGUAUACAAAUAAGUGAUGCAAAUCUCCUUCCUGAGCCACUGACCUCGUUUCCCCUCACAGCAAAAACGCUCCGAGAGGGACAGGCUGCAAGUACACAAGCUGUUCAUUUCUACUAAACUGUCCAUCAGAAAACACACAAACACCACGUGGAUUGUGUAAUCAUCCUGUGCGGAAGAAGCGGAAGUGUUCAAGUUUCAGAGAACCGAGUGUAAAUCUUUAGAAAUGUUUCUAUUAUACUAAGUGUUUCGGCAAAUCGGCAAAUGUAUGAGAGACAUCAUAAAACACCAGCAACCUGCUACAUUAAUACAUCAGAAUACACUUAAACAUAAGCAUACUUACAUAUAUAUACAUAUAUAUACAUAUAUAUACAUAUACAUACACAUAUAUAUUACACACACUUAAACUCAAACACACUUAGUUGAUCAUGUUCUUUGGGUUGGCUCCUCAGGAUUAGCUUCUCUUUGCUAGGCUAGGCCUCUCUCGGCUUGCUUUCACACACUAGGCUAGCUGGCAUACACUAGUCUAGCUUUCAUAUACUAGACUAGCUUUCAUACACUAGUCUAGCUUUCACACACUAGUCUAGCUUUCAUACAGUAGGCUAGCUGUCAUACAUUAGGCUAGCUUUCACACACUAGGCUAGCUUUCACACACUAGGCUAGCUGUUAUACACUAUUCUAGCUUUCACACACUAGGCUAGCUGUCAUACACUAUUCUAGCUGGCAUACACUAUUCUAGCUUUCACACACUAGUCUAGAUUUCACACACUAGUCUAGCUUUCAUACACUAGGCUAGCUUUCAUACACUAGACUAGCGGUCAUACACUAGUCUAGCUUUCAUACACUAAGAUAGCUUUCACACUCUGGAUUAUUUUUCACUCACUAGAUUGCGCACUAGAUAGCUGUUAUUCUCUAGAUUAGCUCUUGGCCAUUAGAUUAUCUUACACUAGACUAGCUGAUACUUGCUAGGUUAGCUCUUUUCAGUUUUUCCAUUCAAAGUUAAGUAAAAUGCUACAGCAAGAUGCUAAGAAAAUACCAACACAGAUCAGGCUAGCCAAAUAACUAACACUUGGAACAAAAAAAAUAUUAUUAUUAUGAGUAAUAUUGUGAUUAUAAUGUACCAGACAAAGAACAACCUAACUACCACAAAAGUAAAAUGAACCACAGAACCAAAGACGUGUAAGACUAGAGACUAGGGAAAUAGACAAGCAUGAGGCACAGGCUAGCAGUUCUUGAUGGUGGGCUCAGGGGAGGAGGAGGUGCUGAGGGUUUAUCAGACAAACAAGUCAGGGGUAACCAGCAACAGGUGAGAAUAAUUAACUACUAUAGCGACAGGGAAAUGAGGACAGGAAGCAGUAGCCAUAUAAGGAUAGUGGAGCAGCUACAGGACAGGAUGAACUGAGAACAAAGGAAAUUGUGGCUUUUUGAGUGCUUAAUUUCUCAGUAAUAUCCUGCUCUUUCUUUUGCUUAACAAUGAAUAUUAUACUUAAAAAAAAAGUAUUUAUUAAAAUAAAUAUAAAACCCACAUAGUGCUACAAACAGUAUAUAUACAGGUGCACCUAAAAAAAAAUAGAUUCCCGUAACGUCAAUUUAAUUCAAAAAGUGGCACUUUCAUAUAUUCUAGAUUCGUUACACAUAAAGUGAAAUAUUGCAAAACUUUUUUUUUCUUUUGUUUUAAUCUCGAUGAUUACGGCUUACAGCUCAUGGAAAUCAAAUAUCCAUGAUGUUUACUAUAUGUAAACAUCUGUUAUGUGAAAUAAUUUAUUCAGGG